CUUUAAAAAUCUGGAUCAAGCUGAAAAUUGAAACGACACACGAAAGUGUGUUCGAGUCUCUCAAAUUUUCGCAAUCACGAUGAUGAAUCGAAAGAAACAUCUUCGG
rnacentral:sRNA from 1 species